rnacentral:rRNA from 1 species
AUUGAACGCUGGCGGCAUGCCUUACACAUGCAAGUCGAACGGUAACAGGUUAAGCUGACGAGUGGCGAACGGGUGAGUAAUGUAUCGGAACGUGCCCAGUCGUGGGGGAUAACUGCUCGAAAGAGCAGCUAAUACCGCAUGAGACCUGAGGGUGAAAGCGGGGACUCGCAAGAGCCUCGCGCGAUUGGAGCGGCCGAUAUCAGAUUAGGUUGUUGGUGAGGUAAAAGCUCACCAA